GGCCCGGGCUGGGUCAGACGGACAGGCAGUAGCUCCGGCUGCUACGGGGGUACGUGGUCAGGUCAGCUGUCUCCUGAAACCAAACCCAGUGUCCUGUUUCCAGGUGGGAAUUUGAAGUGACCAGUUUGUCUGCACCAGGGUGCGGAGGGAGAGGGGGCUUGCUGCCUGCCAUGGCCUCGGGGCCUCUGUCGCAGCAUGAAAAUUUGGGGUGAGAGGCCUUCAUGCCUCUGCCUGCCCUCCUCACCUGACCCCAGGGACGCCCUGGCCCCUGGAGGUGGGAGGAGAGUAUUGCCUCCUGACCCGGCAGCACCUGCUGCUCCCGCCAUCUCCUGAAUCCCUGGCCGCCUUUAUCCUCACACCUGAACAGAGGAAACCAUCACACCUUUGUGCCCGACGAGGGAGGCCCAGAGGGCUUAAACCUCCCCUGCUGUGAUUUCCGCAGUGUUCUCCAUAGGCGUAAGAUGGGUCAUCCUCUAGCCGAGGGGGAGCUGCCCAGCUGACCACUGGAAGCUGUUCUCCAGCUGCUCCCAGCCCAGACCAGGCCAACCAGCUCCGUCCGUGUAUGCAGCCUCAAACCGAUGAUGCUGUUGCCAAUCCUUGCUUCUCAGCUGAACGUGUUUUCUGAUUACAACGUAGUACAGACUUAAAAGAGGACAUAGAAAAGUUGAAUUGGAAGGAGGAAGAACGGGAAGAAGACGUGUUAUCAUCUUAACACCUCUCCAGGUACUCCUCCCUUAUACUGAGAAGCUGCACUAGUCAACCUCACCCAGACAGAUUCAGGACCAGAAAUCUACUCUCCCUGUGCCCAGUGUUUCAGACAGAAUAUUGACAAAUGGCAAUGUGCACAUCCCUGGAGGCCAAGGCUCUGAACACACUCCUGGAUAAGGAAACCACUUUGGAGGCCAAGAAAACUGCAUUGGUCUAUUCUCACAUGGGAAAGGUGCCAUCAUAAUCUCUGUGUAGAGAAGAAACUGGAGAAGCUGUAGUGGAGGGACAUUCUUGGCACCCAGCUGAAGACCGCGGUACCGUGCAGGUGGAUUAGGACAGCGAGGGGCACUGUGGCGUCGUGCAGGUGACCCAGGACAGCGAGGGGCACCGUGGCGUCGUGCAGGUGACUCGGGACAGCGAGGGGCACCGUGGCGUCCGUGCAGGUGACUCGGGACAGCGAGGGGCACCGUGGCGUCCGUGCAGGUGACUCGGGACAGCGAGGGGCACCGUGGCGUCCGUGCACGUGACCUGGGACACAUGCUCACAGGAAAAGGGUUUGUUCUGGGCAUGCCUACAGGGCAGGCCAGGGGACCUGGCUGUCCUCCCUGCGAGGAGGGUCUUGAUUUCCUAGCGUUUUCUGGGUCUCUAUUUUGGGUAGCUCUCCUGAUUGUACCUGAAAGUUUUCUUUUAAAUCCAGAAACUAUUAAUCACUGAAUGAUUCACUGAGAACUACUGAACCAUAAUUAUGGAAUGAAUCAUAUGCAAUUUAAUAACGAUUUAACUCAAAUAUUUAUAAAAAUGUGCUC
rnacentral:lncRNA from 1 species